UACGAGGGAUGCAAGCGUUAUCCGGAAUUAUUGGGCGUAAAGCGUUUGUAGGCGGGCGAGUGUGUUUAAUGUUAAAUCUUAAAGCUCAACUUUGAAAUUGCGUUAAAAACUGCUUGUCUUGAGUAUGGUAGGGGUAAAGGGAAUUCCCAGUGUAGCGGUGAAAUGCGUAGAUAUUGGGAAGAACACUAAACAGCGAAGGCACUUUACUAGGCUAAUACUGACGCUGAGAAACGAAAGGUAAGGUAGCGAAACGGAUUAGAUACCCGUGUAGUCUUACCCGUAAACUAUGGACACUAAACGGUAAAUUUUUAAUUUACUGUUAAAGCUAACGCGUUAAGUGUCCCGCCUGGGGAGUACGCUUGCAAAAGUGAAACUCAAAGGAAUUGACGGGGGCCCGCACAAGCGGUGGAGCAUGUGGUUUAAUUCGACGGUACACGAAGAACCUUACCAGGAUUUGACAUGCUAGAUAGUUGCUUGAAAGAGUAACGUGCCGUAAGGAAUCUAGACACAGGUGGUGCAUGGCUGUCGUCAGUUCGUGUUGUGAAAUGUUGGGUUAAGUCCCGCAACGAACGCAACCCUUGUCUUUAGUUAUUUUCUAAAGAGACUGCCUGUAAUAAACAGGAGGAAGGUAAGGAUGAGGUCAAGUCAUCAUGCCCCUUAUGUCCUGGGCUACACACGUGCUACAAUGGGAAAGACAAUGAGCUGCAAAUCUGUAAAUUUAAGCAAAUCUCUUAAACUUUCUCGUAGUUCGGAUUGUGGGCUGCAACUCGCCCACAUGAAGUUGGAAUCGCUAGUAAUCGCCAGUCAGCUAUAUGGCGGUGAAUCCGUUCCCGGGCCU
rnacentral:rRNA from 1 species